GUGCUCGCUUUGGCAGCACAUAUACUAAAGUUGAAACAAUACAGAAAAGAUUAGCAUGGCUCCUGCUCAAGGAUGGACAUGCAAAUUCAUGAAGUGCUCCAUAUUUAA